rnacentral:rRNA from 1 species
CACGUAGGGGGCAAGCGUUGUCCGGAUUUAUUGGGCGUAAAGAGCUCGUAGGCGGCUCAGUAAGUCAGGUGUGAAACCUCCAGGCUCAACCUGGAGACGCCACCUGAUACUGCUGUGGCUAGAGUCCGGUAGGGGAGCGUGGAAUUCCUGGUGUAGCGGUGAAAUGCGCAGAUAUCAGGAGGAACACCAGCGGCGGAAGGCGGCGCUCUGGGCCGGAACUGACGCUGAGGAGCGAAAGCGUGGGUAGCAAACAGG